GACCAAGGGGAAAAGAUGGUAGAUGCCACACAUUCUUUAUAGUCAUUAUACUGAAUACAACCAUUUGUAAAAGAUGAAUGUUGUGGUUUUGGAAGACACCAAACUGCCAUCAGAAGGUAGUCUUUCCUUUUCUAGAAAGGGGAGGAAAAAAUGCCGAGAAGCACACAGGUCCAGGUGACUCACUACGGUCUGCCCAGUGAAGAUGAUGACGACGAUGAUGA